rnacentral:rRNA from 1 species
AGAGUUUGAUCCUGGCUCAGGAUGAACGCUGGCGGCAUGCCUAAUACAUGCAAGUCGAACGAGGAUCCUUCGGGAUCCUAGUGGCGAACGGGUGAGUAACACGUAGGGAACCUGCCCGCGCACCGGGAAUACGCUCUGGAAACGGAGAACAAAUCCCGAUGUACAGGAAGGAGGCAUCUUCUUUCUGUGAAACAUCCUGUAAGGGAUGGGGCGCGGAUGGACCUGCGGUGCAUUAGUUGGUUGGCGAGGGUAAAGGCCCACCAAGACGAUGAUGCAUAGCCGGCCUGAGAGGGCGGACGGCCACAUUGGGACUGAGACACGGCCCAGACUCCUGCGGGAGGCAGCAGUAGGGAAUUUUCGUCAAUGGGCGCAAGCCUGAACGAGCGAUGCCGCGUGAGUGAAGAAGGCCUUCGGGUCGUAAAGCUCUGUUGCGGGGGAAAAAAGCAUCUGCAGGAAAUGGUAAAUGACAGAUGGUGCCCCGCCAGAAAGUCACGGCUAACUACGUGCCAGCAGCCGCGGUAAUACGUAGGUGGCGAGCGUUAUCCAGA